rnacentral:tRNA from 1 species
GAUUAAGAAGCAUAAAAAAAAUGCGAGUAAUUUGAAAUUACUAGAAGAAAAUAAUUUCCUUAAUUU